GCGGCCUCGAUUAGCGGGGGAACCACAUGAAAAAAAGCGAGCUACUGGGUGUACCUCCUGGGUAGUUUGGAAAUCACCUAAAAUAUAUAUGUAUAUAUUUAUAAAUAAAAGUUAAUAUAUAUAAAUUAACAUUAUUAUUUUUUAACAGGAAAUGCACAAUGCUAAAAACUGCGUAGGAGAUUUUAAUACAAUAGUACUACCAAGCCUGAUGUUGGCCGCUAUUUCAAUGAAUGCAGCAGUGUGACAGCUAGCAAUCAAAAGUAACAAGAUAUCGAGGAAAUGCAGAUGGCAAUAAACUGUGUAGGAGUUCAUGAUUGCAAUAGAAUAAAAUCGACCAAGCCUGAAGUCAGCAGCCCCUUCAAUGAAUGCAGCAGUGUGACAGCCAGCAAUCAAAAGUUACAAGAUAUCGAGGAAAUGCAGAAGGCAAAAAACUGCGUAGGAGAUCAUUAAUACAAAAGUAUUAUAUAAACCAAACCUGAUGUUGCCAGCUCCUUCAAUGAAUGCAGCAGUGUGACAGCCAACAAUCAAAAGUUACAAGAUAUCGAGGAAAUGCAGAAGGCAAAAAACUGCGUAGGAGAUCAUUAAUACAAUAGUAUUAUAUAAACCAAGCCUGAUGUUGGCCGCUCAUUCAAAGAAUGCAGCAGUGUGACAGCCAGCAAUCAAAAGUAACAAGAUGUCGAGGAAAUGCAGAGUGUAAUAAACUGUGUAGGAGAUUAUGAUUGCAAUAGAAUAAAAUCGACCAAGCCUGAAGUCCUUCAAAGCACGCAGCAGUGUGACAGCCAGCAAUCAAAAGUUACAAGAUAUCGAGGAAAUACAGAAGGCAAAGAAGCAGAUGUCAUCAAAGAAGAUCUUUGUUCCUGCAAUGUUUCCGCAGACGAUACAUCCAACAGAGCGAAGUGGAAGGAAAAGACUCGGAAUAAAGACCCCACCACCAUAUGGGAACAAUGCAAGGGAGAGAGAGAGAAUAUAAUGUUAUAUUUUUAUUUUUUGAUAACAUAAAAUAA